UUUUUUUUUUUUUUUCUUCUGGGUGCCUGAGACUGCAGGACGCAUGACACCCACCUCCUGACCUUGGUUUCCUCUAAGAGCCUCAUGGUCUUGCUGCCUUACCUUCUCUCAGCCCAGAAGGCUGAUCUCGGUCAAAUAGGUCAAUGCAUGGUUCUCCCUGGCUUUGGCCCCAGGUACAAACUCCACCCAUCACACGGUCCCUCCCUGAAGCCGCCCCUUAAGGCCAGAGAUUUUCAGUACCAGCCAAGGAGGGGCCCACAUGUGUAAAAGACACUUUAAGCACCAGCUCCAAAACCGUGGCUCAAACCUUACCUUUGUACUAUAGCCAGACCUGGCCCCCUUUCCAUCAGCCCUGGGGAAGCGUCUUCCUCUUGCUUAAUGUCUCUCACAUACCAGUUUCUUAUGAGUUAUCCUGUCCUCUCCAAAAUGCUCACCUUCCUGCAGCCAGAUCACAGAUCAGGCCUGUCCCCAGGCCCUGCCAGUGGUCACUUGUCUUAUCUGUUCCCCGGGGAUCUGUCGUCCCAGAAGAAAGCUCCCCAUUGUCUAUCAAAAUAAGCGAAACCAUACCAAGGAAUAUGUCCAUGACCACCAGACACUGCCCCUGACUGCAGCUACAACAUAUGGUACCUCACUUGCCAGUUGAACACUUGGGUUUCCUGCUUUGACAUCAGGAAUCUCUGACCUACCUGGACAGCACCCUGCCCUUCUCUUCAGGUACUCACUCCUGCUGGGCUGGUACUGCUCCCUGAAUUUCUGACAGCAUCCCCCAUGCUGAGGUGAUAGUUACCUGGAAGACAGCCUCCUGGUACUGCUUAUUAAUUGGAUGCUAUCUGCUAUAAACCUGCAGUACUUUCCUGGUGAAUGUUUCACCAUCAAGCCAAAAUGGCCUUUGAGCAACUGUCAGAUUCAAGGUUCCUGAUCUGACCUAUGAGGACAGCCUAUCAGGGGUUUCCAUACAAGAUGAGAAAUAAUAAUAUGGAAAGCUAGGACCAGCAGGGAAGUAUGUGCUAGCUAGCUCAGACUUGACUUCUGGCCUCUUUCAGGAUUCUGGUCUAUCCUACCCUAGACCCUGUGCUACUCCUUGUAUCCUGUCUUCUCAGCACAGACUGACCUCCUCUAGAUAUCCACUGGCUUGUUACUGCUGAUCUCUCAGAUCCUCUAGCUCCUCAUCACAUGAUCUGAAAUAUGUCCCUCUACCUCCUUUGUUGGAUUAACCUUUUAUAGUACAAAUGCAUGAGUGGAUGUUGUUUAUGAAAAGAGAAAACUUGGCUAGGCAUGAUACACUCAGGAGGUGGAGGCAGGAUGAUCAGUUCAAAGCCAGGCUUUGCUACAUAGUGAGUUCAAGGUCAGCCUAAGCUACAUUAUACCCUGCCUUUAUAAAGAAAAAAAGAAUAACAACAAACAAAAAGAAAAGGAGGAAGGGGCCGGGCGUGGUGGCGCAUGCCUUUAAUCCCAGCACUCAGGAGGCAGAGGCAGGCGGAUUUCUGAGGUCAAGGCCAGCCUGGUCUACAAAGUGAGUUCCAGGACAGCCAGGGCUAUACAGAGAAACCCUGUCUCAAAAAAAAAAAAAAAAAAAAAAAAGAAUGAAAGAAAAGAAAAGGAGGAAGGAAAGGAAGAAGGGGUAGAAGAAGUGGAGAAGAGAAGAAAAAAUAAAGCAAGGCUGGAGAGAUGACUCACAGUAUAAGAGCAAUGGCUGCUCCUACAGAGGACCGAGGUUUGUUUCUUACCACCCACAUGGUGGUGGCUCACAAAUCUCUGUAACUCCAGUCUCAGGGAAUCUGACUAUUCUAUUCUGACCUCCACAGACAUCAGGCACAAAUGUGGUACACAGAUGUACAUGCAGGCAAAAGAAAAAUAUGCACCCAUACAUAGAAAAUAAAAUAAAAAGCAUGAAGUCCCCUUUGAGGUCUGUCCCCUCCUGACUUUGCCCCCUCUUUUCCUUCCUGAAUUAUUCUUCUCCUUCUCCUCCUUCUUCUCUUCCUCCUCCUCUUCUCCCCCACCCAGCCCCCUGCAAUCUAGAUCUGAGCCUUAGAGACUACACGACUUUGGGAAAUGAUAGAAUGGAGGGAGGAAUACUGAUCAUCUAGAACUGCAUUUCAAUGAAUGUUGUUAAUGUCAUCUCAGUAAGCUAAGACCUAGCAUUGUCCCUGAGGAAUGGAGUAACUGUAUUGGACUUACAGAAUCCUUGAACAUUACCAAGGCAGUAGUCUCCAAUGGAGCUGGCUCACAAGUGAAUGGACCCGGAACAGUAAGAAUAUUUUCAUUUUAAAAGUGAGCCCUUCUUUCUUUCUGUUGGGGGUCAGGGUCAUAGUUACCAGUUUGCCUCCCUUUCUAGUUGAUUAGCAAGAAUAUUGGAUGGGGGCACUUGAUCUGGAAGAAAGCAGUGAGCUUGUAGCUCAGUAGACAGCUCCUAUAUUUGGUUUGUCUUUGCCCUUGGUAGAACCUGCCUAUCCUACCUGAAAGGGCAGUGAGUGGAUGUUUGGAGAGAACAAAGUUUCACCUCAAAGUGGUAAAUGUGGAGGAAGCAAUAGUGUGUGAGACCUUACUCAAGUUUACAGACACAGAGAGAUGCUCUACAGGUGGAAAUCUCUGCUAUUUGGGAUUUGGGGGUGGGAAGAUUACUUGAACAAGAAAGUCCAAGGCCAUCUUGAGUAAUAUAGCAAGAUCCAGUCUUUGAGGAAGGGAAAAAGGGAAGAAGGUGGAGGGGGAGUGGGUACAGGGGGAGCUACUGGGAGAGUUUCCUAUAGCUGUACUUGUCCUGCUCAGGAGACUGGAGGCAGUAACAGGCAACUUUUUAUGAGUUUGAGACAAACAAACAAACAAAGAUACAAAGUUACCAGUAAUCACAGAAAGGUAUACUCAGAUAAAGAAACAAUUUGAACAACUGGCAACCAGAGACAUAGAAAGACAUACAAAAACUGGGUAUAGUAGUUUAUAUUUGUAAUCUUAACACAGGAAGCUGAGGCAGAAAGAUUAUUGGGAGUUAAAGGGCAGCCUGGACUGGAGUAAAACCAUGUUUAAAAACAGAAAAAUUGGGGCUGGAGAGAUGGCUCAGCGGUUAAGAGCACUGACUGCUCUUCUGGAGGACAUGAGUUCAAGUCCCAGCAACCACAUGGUGGCUCACAACCAUCUGUAAUGAUAUCUGACUCCCUCUUCUGGUGUGUCUGAAGAUAGCUACAGUGUACUUAGAUAUAAUAAUAAAUAAAUCUUAAAAAAAAAGAAAAAGAAAACAAGCAAAAAUCCAAAAGGAGAAAGACACAGGAACAGUGAUUAAGUAAAAAAGACAGAGGACAGAGACCCUGACUGAAGUGUUAUAGUUUGUUCAGACUAAUUAGAAAAAUACCUAUAGGCUGGGCAUUUCUUCUAAAAAGUAGAAAUUUAUUUUAUCUAUAGACAAGAAACUCAAAGUCAAACUAGAUUUGCUUGUCCAGUGAGGGUUACUUUCUCAUUCAUAGAUGUGUCCUUGUGACUUCACGUGUUGGAAAAACUGAAGUGUCACUAGGACUCCUGUGCAGUGAGAUCAAAUCUCAUUCAGGGGUCUGACAGUUUUGAUUUUCUUACUUCAGACAAGGUUGUGUUCCAGGUUGUGCCUUUAUGAUCUGCUCGCCUCCUAACACUACCACACUAGGGCAGGACUUUAACCUGUGAAUAUUGGAAAGUGAACAUUUGGACCACAGCAGAAAGAGAAAAACAUACAAAAAGUGUAAUCCCAGUUUUUGGGAACAUGAGUUCAAACACCAAUCUGAUGUACAUGACGAGUUCCAGGCCAGCAUGGGCUAUAUAGCAAGACUAUCU
rnacentral:lncRNA from 1 species